rnacentral:rRNA from 1 species
CCUACGGGGGGCAGCAGUGAGGAAUAUUGGUCAAUGGGCGGAAGCCUGAACCAGCCAAGUAGCGUGCGGGAUGAAGGCCCUACGGGUCGUAAACCGCUUUUGCACGGGGAUAACACCCUCCACUUGUGGAGUUCUGCAGGUACCGUACGAAUAAGGGCCGGCUAAUUCCGUGCCAGCAGCCGCGGUAAUACGGAAGGCCAGAGCGUUAUCCGGAUUCAUUGGGCUUAAAGGGAGCGUAGGCGGGGUUUCAAGUGAGCUGUAAAAUCGCGCGGCUCAACCGCGCCCCGCAGUUGAAACUGGACGCCUGGAGUUCACAAAAGGCAGGCGGAAUUGGGGGUGGAGCGGUGAAAUGCAU